AUCUGACACAAUGAUGAAAACAUAGUUCAGCAGAUGGACCCUGAUGAAUAUUACAGCUUGUCUUUCGCUCCUAUCUGAUGUCAGAU